rnacentral:misc_RNA from 1 species
AAGACUAUAGACCUGCGGAGUACCUGCGGAAGGAUCAUUACAUGGCGGAGAAGGUGGGCAACCUGGCCAACAUCCAGGUUGUGAUGCCUUCACGCUCUUCCACCCUUGUCUAUUUGCACCUUCUGUCGUUCCCUCGGCGGGUUUCGACCCGCCGGCGGCAACAUUGAAAAACCCUUUUUGCAGUUAGCAUUCAAUUCUUCUGAUCAAAUAUUAAAUCAUUACAACUUUUAACAAUGGAUC